UUUUGACAAACGCUGCAUUUUUAAUAAUGUAGAGGAAAGUCCAUGCUCGCACAAUCUGUGAUGAUUGUAGUGUUCGUGCAUAGGGAAUAAAUAACCUAUGGUAGCAGUUAAUUUGCUAACGGAAUCGAAAAAAUCUAAGUCGUUUAGAUAUGAUUUGAUUAGAUAUAAAGUGCCAUAGUGACGAUGCUAUUUAGAAAUAAAUAGAGUGGAACGCGGUAAACCCCUCGAGCGAGAAACCCAAAUUUGGUAGGGGAACUGAUUCAAGAGAAUGAGAAUUAAGAAUCAGAUGGUUUUAAACCAUAGAUAAAUGUUUGUCGCCUUUAUAAGGAACAGAACAUGGCUUAUAA
rnacentral:RNase_P_RNA from 1 species